UUUCUCCCUGCCACACACACACACACACACACACACACACACACACACACACACACACACACACACACACACACACACACACACACACACACACACACACACACACACACACACACACACACACACACACACACAGGCUCGGACGACACUGCUUUUGAGUCCUGGCCUGGGUCAGGGCCUGGUUAAAAUCAAUUUUGAUCAAUUAUUAAGAGUGCUGGUAUCUUUGUGAGGCUAAAAAGGCAGCUGGUGGAUGCAGUGUGCUCUGCUCGCUGAUAAAGUCCACUUUUUAUUUACUUUAUUACUGCUUCCUUGGACAACUCUCAACCCCGGAGAAAUCUUCAAACUGCAACCCAGAGUUACUCUUCUUAGAAGCAUGGGACAUCACUAAAUUUGAUGUGUGCAUGUGUUCCUUGGCCUUUGGAAUAACCUCAUUGGAGUUUGGAGGAGUUGCAGACAGAGAGAAAGGCGAGGGAAGAGUGAGGGGGAAGAAAGGGAACGAGAGAAAGAGGGGAAGGUAGUGAGAAACACUGGGUGAGUGACAGGAAGGGAGAGUGAGUGAAGUCCAGAGUGAGAAUGUGAUUGGUAGAGGAAAGGGGGAGGGCUGGAGAUGAGGGAAGAGUGUGUGGGUUUGGUUGAACAAGAGAACUGUAAGUAUCAAGGGUUAAACAGGGGGGAAAACAGUAACUAGCCAAUGGCAAUUGUUGAGAAAUUAGACCUGCCCAUGCAGACCUCAGAUCAGAAGGGAAACAAUUAUAUUUGGUUGCCUUUUUUCAUCCAGUAUUCAUGGCAAAGCUAAACGUUACCCCAAGUAACCAAUUCAUCCUGAAAUGACCUGUGUGGGUGAACCAAAUCUCAGAGAGUGAGAGUGUGUGUGGAUGCGGAUGCGUCAGUGCAUCAUGAUUGAGAUGUGAGGUUCACUGCACUUCUGCACAAUCUCCUUUUAGGACAAGACUUGUGGUCAUACUGACCCAGGUGUGUGCCGAUAACCAAUCAAUGGCCUGGACUUAAGAGUGAUCACAGAGGACGAGAGUGACACGCACACACACACUCCUUGGUCGAUGGGCCCCUGGGCUGACCUGAAAGGCGUCACAUCUGAA
rnacentral:lncRNA from 1 species